AAAAUCUGGUCACCUUACUCAUGGGCUGUGAGGCCAGGCCAGUGAGCAGGCCACGGAGGUGCUGGUGGCAGGCACAACACUGAUCUACAACUUUGUGGUGGCCAUCCGGCAAGAAUAUAGUCAGCCUUAGAUCUGGCCUGCGAGACUGCCCUGUAGAUAGUGAGCCACUUCCACUGGCUCAGCCAUGCUAAGCACACAGGAGGUGUUCUUCCUUUUGGCCAUCAGGUCCAGUCACUCCCCAUUGAAAUCUUAGAGUUCCAGUUCAGUCUGGGGUUCCACUUCCUCAACCAGAACCCCAGAUAUUUCAUCCACAGUGAAACUCUACACAGAAUGAACAUAGAUCACAGUGCAAAACCCCAGAUAUUUCAUCCACAGUGAAACUCUACACAGAAUGAACAUAGAUCACAGUGAGAGUAUGUGUAUGCAUAUUUGCAAAUAAGACUGAGAAGUAAUGAAGAAAGUUAUUAAAGGGGGAAAAUGCAGGCAGAAUCACCAGCUUUA